rnacentral:rRNA from 1 species
GGUAUUGUAAUAAGAUUUUAAUUGAAUGCUAAAAGAAUGGAAAUUUAAAAAAAAACUUUUUUAAAAAUAAAAAUUGAAUUUUUUUUAAUUUGUGCAAAAACAAUUAUAUUUAUUAAAGACAAGAAGACCCUAAGAAUUUAAGAUUUUACAAUUAAAAAGUUUUUUUUUAAAAUCUUGAUUGGGGCGAUCAAAAAAUAUUAAUAACUUUUUAAAAUUUAAAUUGAUCUAUUAUUAAUAAACUAAUGAAUUAAAUACUCUAGGGAUAACAGCGUAAUAAUUUUUGAUAGAUCUUAUUGACAAAAUAGUUUGCGACCUCGAUGUUGGAUUAGGAUUCUUUUUUAAUGAAGAAGUUAAAAAAAGAAGUUUGUUCAACUUUUAAAUUCCUACUUGAUCUGAGUUCAGACCGG